UAAGCGGAGGAAAAGAAACUAACAAGGAUUCCCCUAGUAACUGCGAGUGAAGCGGGNAAAGCUCAAAUUUAAAAUCUGGCGGUCUUUGGCCGUCCGAGUUGUAAUUUAGAGAAGCGUCUUCCGCGCUGGACCGUGCACAAGUCUCCUGGAAUGGAGCGUCAUAGAGGGUGAGAAUCCCGUCUUUGGCACGGAUGCCUGGUGCUUCUGUGAUGCGCUCUCGAAGAGUCGAGUUGUUUGGGAAUGCAGCUCAAAAUGGGUGGUGAACUCCAUCUAAAGCUAAAUAUUGGCGAGAGACCGAUAGCGAACAAGUACCGUGAGGGAAAGAUGAAAAGCACUUUGGAAAGAGAGUGAAACAGUACGUGAAAUUGUUGAAAGGGAAACGCUUGAAGUCAGUCGCGUCGACCGAGACUCAGCCUUGCCUUGGCUUGGUGUACUUCUCGGCCCGACGGGUCAGCAUCAAUUUUGCCCCUCGGAUAAUGGCAGGGGAAAGGUGGCACCUUUACGGGUGUGUUAUAGUCUCCUGUCGAAUGCGAGGGGUGGGAUUGAGGAACUCAGCGCGCACCUCAGUGUCGGGGCUUCGGCCCACGUCACGCGCUUAGGAUGCUGGCGUAAUGNCUUUAAACGACC
rnacentral:rRNA from 1 species